AUAAUGUUAAUCCAAAGGGUCAUCUGCGUCUGUAUUGUCAACAGUGUGUAUUUAUGUGUUUAUAUGUGUGGAAAUGUGCAUGCAAAGGAGCGUCUAUUGCAUUCAUGCUUACCUGCAUGUGUGCGCAGCUGGAAUGAAUUACAAUGGAGGACAGCAUUCGGUGUGUGGUGGGGUGAGGAAAUGACCCCGCAGAGUUUCGACUGCGAUGGGAGGAGAGGGAGUCCCCCAGACCGGGUCUUCCCUGUUGGCACCGACCCACACAGAAACCAUUUGGGAUUCCGAAGGCACACCAAGAAGAACAGUUUCUAGCAUAACGUCACACCUCGGAGAUGUCAUUUCCUAAACUGACACUUUGAAACUUGGCAUUUACACAAUAGAUAGUUUAAGAAUAAAAGGUUGUUCCAUUUGUGAUGCAAUAUGUCCCAAGCUCUACAUGAAGCUCUGCUUUUCAAAUCAAUGGAUAUAAAGUGGACAUUGCUAAAAAAAAAAUCUUUAGCUCUCCAGCUAUUUUUUUUGCGCACAUUGUGUUUUCAGGAUGUCUUGUAGUUUGAGAUUUGUAUUAUUGAGAUUUAGCAGUUUGACAUUUUGUAUGUGUUAUGUUUUAUGUCAUGUUUAUAUAAUGAGGCUGUGGACAAAUUUCAUUGAAGACAAUAAAGUUUUUGUUGUAUCGUA